AAGUCUGUUUACCUGCAUAUCUUCAGAUCAAUACUAUAAUGCAUUUACCAGACAUUUUACCGGCACAGCCCCAGACGAUAUUUCCUUAACAGACAUAUUUGUUCAGAACACAAAAAAAAUUGUACUAAAAACAUUACACAGGGCACAGACCACAGUACCUUCAACUCAAAGUAACUGGAAUGGAGGAAAUGCAAUGGAAAAGACUGGGAUUUGAACCUGUGCCUCCUGAAUCUCUAGUCAGGUGCUCUACCAACUGAACUCACUGGACCCACUGGUGAUCAGACCCAUCUGACUACCACACUAUAUUAAAUUAUGACAUUUGUAUUGUAAAUUUAUAUAUAUCAUAUAUAUGUCAAUUAUAUAUACAGUCCAAUUGUGAUCUAGCUGUAUCAGCUAAUACAUUGUUUCAAAUAUAGCUGGGAUUAGUUUUCCACACCAAUGUCCUUUAGACAAUAUGUAUUUCCUUUCGCUACAAUAAAUAUGAUAGAGCUUUUUACUUCUCUUUCUAAUCUAACAGACAUAUGGAUCACUAUGAUAUUAAAGGAUAAAACUCCCUAACACAUGCAAAUUCACACCUUAAUCUAAAUUAAUUAACUCUUCUUAAAAAGAUGAUCUAGCUUACAAAAGGACACAAUGACUUAAGAUGAUCUGAAUGAUAUUUUGUCAACAAUCCCCCUAUCUUUCUAAAAAAUAUUUUUUGUGCCGUCUAAAUGAACUCAACUGAGCUAUGAAAUAGCUGUGCCACAAAUCACUUAAUCUUGUAUUUUUAAGCAUUCAGGGAAUGUUUGGAAUUUCAAAUGUUACUCAAUAAUCAGUGUACGUGUUGCAAUUUCAAGUCAUUGAUCGCUUACAAGUGUCAGUUUAAAUUUCCUGAUUUUUAAAUCCUUACGACAAAUCUUGCAGAACAUACCAAUCUGUUUUGUGAUAUUAAACAGAAAACGCUGUAUUAUCACGAAUAUGGUAAUGUAAUGGAUAAUAUGGUAGAACAUGCAGAGACAAGCUAUAUAACUCUCUUCAGUAUUAUUGAACACAUUCAAUAUUGGUAAUAUUGAAUUAGCGACCUGAUCAACAUUUACAAGUGAAAGAUCUUUGUUCACUAAAGUUAAGUUCUGGUAAAAUCUAAAGAUGGGGGAGAAGACAAGAUUCCAUGCCCGACUCAGCAAUCUGAUUUCACAAAUUUUAACUGCCAGCCUGAAGGAGAUAUUUUAAAUGCACGGCCAUCACAGCACUUUUUGGCACAGGGACCAGGUUCCCUUUAAUCAGAAAAAUUGUUGUCAUUUUUUUUUUUAUAAAUUGGGAAAAUUGAGCUUACUGUCUCUUCCAUCCAAAUAAAGUUUAAAACACAAAGGACAGCAAAACAACACUUCUAACAUUCAUAUGAAUUCAGUUCUUGAAUCUCUCAAUCAAUUUGCUCCCUGUCUGUUUACAUUGUAUGAUAUAUUUUCAAUUCAUAAAUGCAUUUGUGAAAAUUUUGCUCUGACAUAUAAAAUUGGGAAAAUGGGUGAAUUUUUGUCAUUGGGAAUGGGUCCAAUAUUCGGUCCAACUUUGAGGAGAGUGAAUGCCCUGAAAGGAAUUUUUCAGAUCUUUUUCUAGAAAAUAACCUAUUUCAGAAUGAAUCACAUUAUCAUCAUACAAUAAUUCCUCCUACAUUCUUAAGUUUUUGCAUUGGACUAAGAUUCUAGAUCUGGCACUUAACUCUUAGACAGAGUACCUGUUCAUCACCAGAAAAGCCCUAUCACACAAAACAGCUUGUAUUUCCUACACACUGUGACAAAUAUAUACAUGUACUAUUGAGGUCUGAUAUCACAAUCUUUAAUAAGUCUUUUUGAUCCUAAGUACUAUUGACAGUGAGUUAUUUUAAUAAAAACGAUAGAAAUUGUACUUUGAUAGAAGCUAGACUUAUUUCAGUCCUGGCAUACAUGUUUCCGGUUACACAAAUAAAAUUUUAAGAGCUUGAUUGAAUUUUUCAGAUAUUAAAAGUAUACACGUAUUUGACAAGAAAAGACGUCCCUCAAUCUUAUUCACUUAAAUAACCAAAGAACAGGGUUUUAUCAAAGCAUCAAUAUGAUCCACCCGAGGAGGUGAGCAGUAAAACUGCCACCAGCAAUUCAUUUCUCAAUAUUAUCACAGUUUUCAUCCAUUCAUUCUAAUUAUUCCUUAAUCUUAAUGGAUCAUCAAUUCAAAAUUUAUUUUUAAAGCUCUUUUCAUUCCAAAUGUUGAAAUCUGUUGACACAAGAAGCAUUUCCAUAUUCGAGAUAAGUGGGUUACCAGCUUUCACAAUAACUCUAUAUCUGCAUGUGUUUGCAAUACCAAAGAAAUUCAAUGACAUUGGUUCUAACGCAUAACGAAACUCUAGAUUAUAUUUGAUAAAAAGGGUAACGGCAGUUUUCUUCAUAUUGAAGCCUCCCAUGAAUUUCAGAAAUGCACUCUGGUUCACAGGCGGAUGUGUGCCCCCUUAACCUUCAAAAUCAUCAUAAUCCUUGAGGGUUAGUCAAUUAAACGCUUGAUUGUAGUAACACUUUGUAAUUUGAAAGAGUUUUUGAGAUGGUAGUGAGGGGAGACCUUUAUUUUUUGUGUGACAGAGCAUGAAAAGUCGACCCACUAGCUUUAUGAUUUAAAUGAAAAAUCCCAAGUCAUUCAAUCAUUUCUGUUGUGGGUUGUUUAUCAAAUUUGACAGUCACAGGUAUCACAAUUAUAAUCUUAAUGUGGAAGUUUUAAGCUUUUUCUCAUAAAAUUGUCCUGCUCGUCAAAAAAUCAUUAAAAUCAAUUAAGGUUGUACAAUAAGUUCAAGAAAUACAUUUUUGAAUUUUCUAGAGAUGAUGUAGAAAAUCAAAGAUAUCAAAUAGGACUCGCAUAAAGGGUAUAUUUCCUAUACUCAAACCACUAUCCACAGUAACAUCAGUAUCCUAUACUCAAACCACUAUCCACAGUAAUGUCAGUAUCCUAUACUCAAACCACUAUCCACAGUAACGUCAGUAUCCUAUACUCAAACCACUAUCCACAGUAAUGUCAGUAUCCUACCCUCAAACCACUAUCCACAGUACUGAGCAUCAUAGAUUUAACCACUAUCCACAGUACCGAGUAUCAUAGAUUUAACCAUUAUCCACAGUAUUGAGGGUUAGGAUAGCCUACACUCAAGGCCAAUAUCUCUAACUUGGAUCAAUAUCCAUAGUAUUAGUGACACCCUACAAUCAGACAUUCUGUAUUUAUAGAUGUGAUAAGAAGGUCACUCUGGUAACAAGACAAAAAAGUUUCAAUCUUGAAAUUUAAAUCAAAAGCUUUGUGUCCAUUUCUGACCCUUCAAUAUGCUAAUUAAAAUUGAAAUUUACAGGCUUUGAAUGAAAUUCCUAUAAUUACGUGUAAUUAAAAGACGACCAGGAAGAUUGCUGUCUAUGCAUGCAUGCAAUGAUAUUUAGAGUAAAGCAGACUUACAUGUAAUAUACAUGACUACAUGUACAUAUCAAUAUAGUGUACUUUAAUGACUGUGAAAACCACAAAGACUUAGAUAUAUUGUGAAUCAUUUCACCACAAUAUUAAUGUCCUUGGUCCACUUCCAGCAUAUAGAAGCCUAUAUUUAUAAACUGAUUGGGUGUGAUUCAUUGCAUGAGGUAAACGCAAAGGAUAAUUUAAGAAGGAUUUGAAUUAAUCAUAAUUGGCUGUUUAAAGUUUUCCAACGCAAUUUAAAAUGUGAUAUACAAAGCAGCACAAAAGUAGAGAUAAUGCUUAAGAAAGCUUUCAGCCGUUUCCAGUCAGGUCUUAACAAACGUACAAGUGCCCAUGAUCCGUUACGUCUUAAGAUAAAUCUUCAUUUGUCUAUUGCGGUGCUAUUUAUCUUCAACCAACCCCCCUCUUAUUUUUUGUUUCUUACAGAAAUUUGUAGUAUAAGUACUGUUUAUAUUAUCUUAAGUCUUUAAUCUUUACACUCUUAGCAAGGUGAGAAAACAACUUAUAUAACGUAAGACGGCUGUAUUUUUGUUUGAAUUCUAAGUCAGGAGUGAAUGAUCUGUGUGAUUUGAAUGUUUUACGUAUAUCUAAUAGGCUUGUACAUUCUCAGACUUGCACAGACACACAAACACAAAGAGAACAUCUAUAGUCCCUGUCAUUAAUGCCAACAGGGUGUUCCACAAUGUUCUAAAGAUGAACUGACCUCUGUAAACAAACUCACAGGGAAGAACGAAUACGGAGCUAAAUAAAAGAUUUCUGUCGAUCACAGACAGAUCAGAAAUAUGAUUGUGCUUAUCACAUUUGAUCGAGAGCUAGUCCUUGAUUGUUUGUAAAUGUUGGGUGUUACUAAGUUCUUUUGAAAUAUUAAAUACUGCAGAUAAUCCUAAAUGUAUUGUUAUCAUUCCCUCUGUGCAAUUAGAUUGUUACGAUAAAAUAUUGAAUUUCAUUGAAAAUAUUAAUGCGUAGUGGCAGAAAAACAGUGAGGAAAACCGAGUAUGCUUACUGUUUGACAUGAAUAUUUUGAACUAAAUUAAAGGCUGGCAUUUCAUUGAGCAAGAUUCCCGUUAAUUAGAAUAUUUAAUUCAAACAGUAUAUAUUCCUCAAAAAUCAGUAAUUUAAAAACUUCCUACUCCUUAGCAUACACACCUACCUAGAAUUCUCUUUCAUUAUCAUCAUAAUCAUUUAAUCACAUUGAAUUCAAAAACUCUAUUAUAUCAUUUCUUUUAAAAUCUUCAUUUCAUAUUUGUAACUGUCAUAUUUUGUUAUUGUAUGCAAAUUAAUGUACUUGUUCCAGAAAUCAGUUCAAGGUAAGCUCUGCACAUGUCUGUGAGGACAUUAAAUGGCUAAUUAAAUCUGUUCCUAGGUCUCGUUGUACACUUCCAAGCUUGUAGAAUCCCGAAUGUUUACGGUUACCAUUAGUUUAGGACAUACGGGACAUUUCUCAGUGAUGCAUAAUUUUUCGUGACAUUUCACAUACAAUACACAUUUAUUCUAUCUCAGCUUGGGGUAUAUAACCAGGUCUGUUUUAGCUAGCAUAUCUUGGUUACUGGUUAUUGCAAGUAAAAAUGUAAAGUCAUUAUAUUAUAAAUAUUACAGAAGUUUGUAUGUAUGGACAUUGAAAUUUAAGUUAUUGUCGCAAAGAAGGGAGAAAAAUCUUUGGAACAAUCGGAGAUCGAACCCGGGGGACCAUUGCAUUAAUAGUUGAUCUAACCACUGAGCUACCCGAGCCGAUAUACAAAGUAUGGUAACAUUACUGCAUUAUAAAAUUCAAGCCUAUUUCGGAAAUCAUACAAGAACUCUUUAUAUUGAGGAGAUGAAAAAAUAAUUUUAGAGAAAAUGUCAAAAGCAUUGAGUAUGUUCUUAAAUCUCAAAAGUAACAUUACACGCUUGAACUAAUUAUACAAUGUUCCUGUGACUUUUCUUGACUAAUCAUAAAUCUUCCUCUAAAAUUCAUAAAAAAUGGAAUGAACAUGUAAUUCAUUUGAAAUACUAUAAAGUAUAAAAUCUCAGUUUUAUUUCCUUUCAGGACCAGCUUUCACUUAAGAAAUUGGUGUUUGACACCCUCCUUCAAUUGUCCAAACUUCACUACGACAGAUUCAAGUGUGGCCUAGCUGUUAAAUCAUUGAUAAUGGUCAAUAUUGAUUUGAUUAUAUGGGUCAAUAUUGAUUUGAUUAGAUAACUUGAUAACGCAAUGACAAAAUUCUAUUGUUAUCUACGUAUUUGACAUCGGGUAUAUGUGAAUUCAUGAAUUAAUCCUUAGGAAUACAAUCUCGCUUGUGGUAUACAGAAAUAACAGUUCGACUAAUCAACAUGAUUGUAAUGUGAUCAGACCACAUGUUUACUUUCUGAUUUACAGUUUACCCAGUGAGUGACCAAAUGUGCAAGAAAUUAUUCAACUCUCAAGUAUAAUUUAUGAAUAUGUUAUAUAUCUUUACAUUGCAUAUCUAUUUUUACACAAUAUAUAAAUAUAUUGAAUGUGUUUGUUUGACCAUAAAAUCACUUGUUCAAUUUCAUCAAUAUAAUACUACAUUAUUGUCGAGACGUUUUGUGCAACGGCAACCUCACAAAUAUUUAUUUUCAACAUUAAUAUUUUAACCAAAAAUGCAUGAAACUUCAAUUAUACAAAAUAUCAUACAGAGAGAGAGAGAGAGAGAGAGAGAGAGAGAGAGAGAUUGUAAAAAGAGGGGUUUAAGGAAGUACAAGCUGUUCUGUGUCAGUCAUUCCAAAAGUUCCCUUUGAUCUUUCUUCUCAUAACAGAAAACAAUAAUUAUAAAACUAAAUCAUACUAGAUCAUCGAAAAUCCAAUAACCCUCUUAUGAUUGAGCUAAUCAACGGUCACCUCUUAAAACUAAUGCAAUCAAAGCUUGGCGUGUUUUUAUAGCAUGUGAAACUUCAGUAGCAGAUCAAAUGAAGUCAGCAGGUAUAAACAGAUUAAUCCAAUCUUUUAAACCUCUUAUUGGUGACUUUUAUAAUAUAUAUCUAAAGUUUUCUCGUUAGAACUUAUGAUAUCAUUAAUAAUUUUUUUUUACCUUUGUAAGCCAUAUUUUAUGACUAUCUCAAUUUUUUCUUUGUUUUGUUUAAACAAUUUCUUAAUUAUUAAAGAUUUUUUUAUCAUUAAAAUUGUAUGCAGGAUGUCUAAAUUUGAAAUAAAAUUGAUAGAUCAGAAAUAUCAGGGGUGUAUAAUAUUUGUGAGAUCAAUUAUUGAGGGUUCGGUAAUUUUGUCACGUUCCCAUUUUGAGGUGUAAAUACUUAAGAAAACAUAAAUAAAGGAACAUCUUGGUGUGGCACUCAUAAUUGAAGCUAAUUCAAACUUUUUAAAAACCCUACACAAAAAAUUUACACAUGGAUACCAACAGGCUAUAACAAUUCUUUAGCCAUGAUCAUUUAAGUAAAUCAUUGGACAAGCUAAUCUUAAUGCACUAUCAAAACACUCCAUCAGAAUUCUAUGCUAGACACAAAUUGUCCUUUAAAACAAAUUCAUCUACACCUUAAUUGUUAUUCAAAAAACAUGGCUUUUUAAAAAAAAUUCAAUACAUUCAAGCAACUGUUACGGAAAUGUAAUCGGACACCUUUCUUUUAAUAUGAUGCAAUUAAAUGUGAUAGAAAUAAAAACUCGACAACAUAAUAUAAUUUUAUUGCUUAUGUCAUUUUCCUAAUUUAACUUGAACAUUUACAAAUUGCCCUCCUACAUUGACCUGACAAAUCCAGAGGUGUUUUUUAUUUUAUCCAUGACAUUAGGAAUUCUAAUCGUUUUAUAUCCUAUUUAGGGUAAUUUGUAUGUGUUGAUUUUACAGAAGAAAUUUUUUUUUAACACCCACAUGUAACAUUCCUCUGCCAUUUUAUCAAAUCAAAUAUCAAUAUAGUUUUAAUGUUUUGUUUCUAUUUGACAAGUUCUGAUUAACUGGUUAUGGUACGGUUCCAAUGAUAAUUAAUUCAUUGACAAUGGUGCGUGUUUAAGUACAUGAAUUCACAUUCCGGAGUGUCUAAGCAAAAUAUGACUGAUGGUCCUCCCUCAAAUUCUGCAUGACACUGACAUUAAAAUUUAUACACACUGUCAAGCAACUCUAUGUACAUAAACACUGAGUUUCAAAGUAUUUUCAACAAAUUCAUUCUGUGUUGGUUUACAAUGAACAGGUAAUCAUAUGAGCAAGUUUUAUAUGGAUCAUUGUCUCAACAAAGAAGGUAAAAAUCACCAUUAAACACCAAAGGUAAAUUGAAAUUACUUGAGACGUGUCAAAUACUGGUGGUUUACUUUGAUCAAAUUUUGCCUCGUUCUUUGAAACUAUACACAAAAACAGCACACACUAAAAAAAUCAGCUGUAUAAACAGAAAACACAUCCUGUUGAACACAAUUAACAUCUGUAAGAUGACGGUUACAAUUUCAGUAGUCUUCCUGGUUUUCUUCAAAUCUUCAAAAUGAGAGAGGUGUGGGAUGGGGAUGGGGGUAAUUAAUGUGUUCUGUUGCACGUUUAUAUAUUUUGACUCAUUACUUGCUUAUGAACUUCACUUAUGUGACAAAAUCUUUCAACAGUCCAAAGUGUAGGUUGUAUUUGUUUAUUGACCUGUGAGCAUCAAUGAAUGUUUCCCAGCGAAAAAUAUCAUUGAUUGAUCCAGGUUUAUCCUCCGUUUACGACCAGUAUGUGACAUAUGAUGGCUAAAUCACUGAUUUACACGACAACUACAGAUAUAUGACUUACCCAGUAAGAGAAUUUUGAUGACAUUCUGAUCUUUCUUGGCCCAGGUCUGCAAGUUGCGGUCGAUAGCCUCACUCCGAGCCCGGGCCUUUAGUUCUUCCUGGUCUAGGCUCAGACACUGGCCCAUUGAGCUACAUGCUGUAAAUUCUCUGCUGUAAAAUGUCAGAUCAAUUCAUUUGAUACAAAAAACUGCAAUAUGCUGUUGCUUUUUUAAUAAAUAUCCGAUAGGUUUAAAAUUUCUUAUUCAUCCCUAUCACUCAUAAACAAUAUGACACUACAAAGUGGAACAGCCUCUCCCAACUGAGCACAUUCAUGAAUGUAACUAUUUUAUAUAUAUCAAUGUUACUCAUUUGUAAAAUACUACAGUAUUCUAAUUUCGUAAUGCAGGGGAAUAAUAUCUAUAUCAUGAUGAUACUGUAUUUUUACAGUUUCGAGUUCUUAUUGCUGGUAUACUAAUAUGGCCCAUCUUGGAACUCUUGAAUUUUCAUAGAUAUAUCAAUCAACUCCACAUCAUAAAAUUCUUAAAUCAUAAAUGCUUUUUUCUCAAAGAAUUUAACUAGCAUUUGUAUCACCCUACAGAAAAACUUGGUAGGUGGUUUGUUAACUUUAUAGCUACGAAUAUGAGAACUGUUUUCUAAUGUAGAUUAUGUUAAUCAUCUAAGAAAACCGAUGUACGAGUACACAAUACGUAACCCGAGGCCUGUAGGCCCCUACAUCAAUAAAAUUACUGUCUUUCAGGAGAAAAUUUGGGAAUUCGAUUUAACACAAAAUUUCGUAACUUUGAAAAUUCAACCUUUAUUUUCUAUCCCCCUAGGUUGUCCUGUCAAAACUUUUCCCUUUUCACAACAUUUUCCAGAGUGUUCACAAAAAAUGCCUUCAACAAUCUUGCACUGUGUAGCUGUAUUUGCUGUCAACUUACCUGUGUCAAAAAAUAUUUCCACGUUUUUAAAAAGUUUUAAAAUCCUGCAUGUGAAUCUUAUCUCAGUGGCGUUUACACCUGUACUGC